CACGGACUGUGAACAAGGGCCAGAGCCCAACAUGGGGGCGGGGGGGGGAGCAGCUCCCAGGAGGCAAGCGUGUGACUUGAGGCAGAGCCCACAGACUAGAGAGGGCUCUACCGUCCGAGGGGCCCUGCCCGGGGACAAUCCAAGAAGCAUCCUGGAGGAAGCUGACAUCUCCGCGGCUUCUGCGUGUAGCUGGAGCCUGUGCUCAGUGCUUCAGCCCCGCCAGAGACGGCGCAGUGCGAGGUCCUUAGGUAGCCCUGGGGUGGGCGGGUGUGUAAGGCCCGCACAGGGUCUGUGAGCGUGGCGUGGGCAAAAGCAGGCGAGAGAUGAGUACACAUUGCCGCUGACUCCUCCCACAGCACCUUCCUGUCAAAUCCUGCUCAUCCUGAGCCAUGAUUCCCAUGGAAACCAGACCGGGAAGGAAGAGGAGCAAAAGGAGAGGCAGAUCCCAGCUUUCUCAACGGCUCCACCAACCUUUCCAGCUUUGGACAGAGGUGGGAAAAAGAGCUCUUGGCUCUCAGCCUGUCCCAGGCUACCACAGGCAGAUGAGAAGACAGAGGUGCCUGAAAGGGACUUGCCCUAUAACACCACCGGCCAGCAGGUGCCAGAACCAGGACUUGAACCCAGGUCUCCUGGGGCCAGUGCACGUUGGAGGGCCUGGUGGAGGCCCCUCUGUUGGAGUGGAGGCAGCUGCUCCAGGACCUGAACAGGCGACCCAGACCUGUUCCCAGAAGGAAGGUGGGAGGGUCCUGCUCUGGCCACCACUCCUCCAACACAGCUGUCCCCCUCCACGUGUCAGAAGGAUGACAUGGCUUGGCUAGACCCUGUCACCUGUCAGAUACUAAUCUCUCUCUCAGGGAUAAUUGUUCCUGCAAUUAUUAAAUUAUUAACAGUG